AUUGAACGCUGGCGGAAUGCUUUACACAUGCAAGUCGAACGGCAGCACGGGGGCAGCCCUGGUGGCGAGUGGCGAACGGGUGAGUAAUACAUCGGAACGUGCCCGGUCGUGGGGGAUAACGUAGCGAAAGUUACGCUAAUACCGCAUACGAUCUGAGGAUGAAAGCGGGGGACCUUCGGGCCUCGCGCGAUCGGAGCGGCCGAUGUCAGAUUAGGUAGUUGGUGGGGUAAAGGCCUACCAAGCCGACGAUCUGUAGCUGGUCUGAGAGGACGGCCAGCCACACUGGGACUGAGACACGGCCCAGACUCCUACGGGAGGCAGCAGUGGGGAAUUUUGGACAAUGGGCGCAAGCCUGAUCCAGCCAUUCCGCGUGCAGGACGAAGGCCUUCGGGUUGUAAACUGCUUUUGUACGGAACGAAAAGGCUCUGGCUAAUACCUGGGGCUCAUGACGGUACCGUAAGAAUAAGCACCGGCUAACUACGUG
rnacentral:rRNA from 1 species